rnacentral:rRNA from 1 species
CCUACGGGGGGCAGCAGUGGGGAAUAUUGCACAAUGGGGGAAACCCUGAUGCAGCGACGCCGCGUGAGUGAAGAAGUAUUUCGGUACGUAAAGCUCUAUCAGCAGGGAAGAAAAUGACGGUACCUGACUAAGAAGCCCCGGCUAACUACGUGCCAGCAGCCGCGGUAAUACGUAGGGGGCAAGCGUUAUCCGGAUUUACUGGGUGUAAAGGGAGCGUAGACGGCAGCGCAAGUCUGGAGUGAAAUCCCAUGGCUUAACCAUGGAACUGCUUUGGAAACUGUGCAGCUAGAGUGCAGGAGAGGUAAGCGGAAUUCCUAGGGUAGCGGUGAAAUGCGUAGAUAUUAGGAGGAACACCAGUGGCGAAGGCGGCUUACUGGACUGUAACUGACGUUGAGGCUCGAAAGCGUGGGGAGCAAACAGGAUUAGAUACCCGGGUAGUC